AGCCCUGUGGCGAAAGAUUAACGCGGCAGACCUGCAAGUCUGCUAUUUUCAGGUUCAAGUCCUGACGGGGCUUCCA
rnacentral:tRNA from 2 species